GCCCGGCCGGGGUAGGGAGCCGGGGACCUUCACGUUGAACAAAGGAGCGAGCCCCCUUCGCUCCGGUUUGUUUACCAAUGAACCAACGCGUGUGUACGGCAGAGUGGGGGGAAAAAAAGGAAACGACCGGGCAAAUACAGGCAAAGUCAAAUUCAAAUAAAAAGGUUGUUUGAAAUCAGAAAGAGGGGGAUCUUGCCAACCCUUGCACUGCUCUGGAUUGUGUCUCUGGUUCCCACCGAAAUCCCAAGCUCUUUAGGACGGCUGCUUCGGCGAAAUCUCAGCCCCACGCAGGCUGCUGGAGUGAGAAGAAGCUGCUGGAAAACCCCUCUUUUAUGCACGUGAAAAUGCUGUGAAUAUAAAAUAAAGAUUUGCAAGGGACCGGGCAUGGCGCUUUAUAGGGGUGGUGGGGGAGUUUGGGGGGCCAAACCAAUCCAUUUAUGCAAAUAUUUGAAAGCUGUUAAAAGCUCUUUUAAAGCCAAGACUGGAAAGCCAACUCAGAAAGUGGCAGCCACGGGUGGUGGGAGGGGUGGGGGGAACCAGUUUCAUCAUUACAAUAUUCGAGUGUAUUUAAAACACAAAAAGCUUUAGCAUCAAGGGAUUAUUUUUUUGUCUUGUCGAGUAGAAGUCGCUGCUCCUCAAGAGCACAGAAGAGGUUUCCAGGAGACGGAAUAUUGUUUAAAGUUAAAAAUAAUUAGAAGUAUGAUAAACAUGGGUCAUUAAUGGAAAAAGAAAUAAAAUUCAUCAGCUUAAGUAGAACCCCCGUUGGGAAAAAUGCUUGUCUCUAAUUACAGAAAAUAAAUACGAACAAACGCUAUUAAAACUUAAAAGGAGAGCGCCGAGAUGUGGGAAGGACUUUAAUAACCUCCUUUGAAUUUUACACACUUUUAGCAGAACAAUAUGCAGGCUGGAUAGUGGCACACACACAAAGCACGCGCCUGGGGGAAGUACACCUACGUGCCCUGCACACGCACACACAUGGCAUUGUAUGUUCAUAGACACCUUCCUGUAGGGGGGGGAAGACACCGUGGACAUUGGAAAUGGUCUGAGGGUUUAGCUUUAUGCAAAUAUAUAAGUCUCACCAAAUAUAGUUGCCUCCCUUUCUCAUGCGUGUGUGUGUGUGUGUGUGUGUGUGUGUGUGUGUGUAUGUAAAGCCAAUUGCUAAUGUUCCUCUAUUGUCCUGGCUGUGGGAUGGUCCUUUUUGAAGGGCCAAAAGGCGAAGAAUUGGCUUAGUAUAUCCCUCUAAAAUCAGCUUUAGGCGCUUCCUCCUCUUGCCUGCAUGGAAAAAGAGGCAGAAACCCUGAAAAAAAGCCCCUUUCCCCCUCCCUUAUCCGUCCAAAACGCAUUUAAAAUGCACGUGGAGACUAUCCCCAACAAAGACCCUCUCCAACUUGCGCAUAAUAUUUUACCUGCCUCCUUUUCAAUCUAAUUAUUUAACAGAGAGUUAUGCCCAGAAAGUGCCUCUUAUGUCCAUUGCAUUUUUUUUUUACCAACUUUUCUUACAUUUUUUAUGACGAACAUUCAUUUUUUUUUUUUCGCUCCGAGGAAGUAUUUGAUAGCAACACUUUAAUGAUUACCU